rnacentral:rRNA from 1 species
UACAGAGGUCUCAAGCGUUGUUCGGACUCAUUGGGCGUAAAGGGUGCGUAGGCGGCGCGGUAAGUCGGGUGUGAAAUCUCGGAGCUUAACUUCGAAACUGCAUUCGAUACUGCCGUGCUUGAGGACUGGAGAGGAGACUGGAAUUUACGGUGUAGCGGUGAAAUGCGUAGAUAUCGUAAGGAAGACCAGUGGCGAAGGCGGGUCUCUGGACAGUUCCUGACGCUGAGGCACGAAGGCCAGGGGGAGCAAACGGG